GACGAACGCUGGCGGCGUGCUUAACACAUGCAAGUCGAACGGUGAAGCUCCAGCUUGCUGGAGUGGAUCAGUGGCGAACGGGUGAGUAACACGUGAGCAACCUGCCCCAGACUCUGGAAUAAGCGCUGGAAACGGCGUCUAAUACUGGAUACGAGAUCAAGCCGCAUGGUUAUGGUCUGGAAAGUUGUUCGGUUUGGGAUGGGCUCGCGGCCUAUCAGCUUGUUGGUGAGGUAAUGGCUCACCAAGGCGACGACGGGUAGCCGGCCUGAGAGGGCGACCGGCCACACUGGGACUGAGACACGGCCCAGACUCCUACGGGAGGCAGCAGUGGGGAAUAUUGCACAAUGGGCGAAAGCCUGAUGCAGCGACGCCGCGUGAGGGAUGACGGCCUUCGGGUUGUAAACCUCUUUGAGCAGGGAAGAAGCGAAAGUGACGGUACCUGCAGAAGAAGCACCGGCUAACUACGUG
rnacentral:rRNA from 1 species